rnacentral:siRNA from 1 species
GGUGGUGCGUUGUUGAUAUCGC